UUUAAGAUCAUAUGUAUAUAUAUUUAAGUGGUCUAACUAAAAAUUUAUUAAUAGCUCCACCUAUGAGAUUGAUUUACGUUGGAUCGCCCAAAAAAAGUUUCAUGUGGGACCGCCCUUUGCGCAUGUGCGAGUCAGCGCGGUCUUUUCGCCCAUCUCGUCUCAUUCUCUCAGUGCAACGCCAAGGCAGAGGGUGGACGAGAGUACGUAAAGGCGAAUAUCUACUACUUGUUGAAGUUGAAAAGCAGUUUACGGCAACCUCCUAUUAAUGGAUUAUGAAUGUGGCAGUGCAAAGAAUGCAGUUUGCAAUUAGCUAGCAGCGUGACAACAUCAACACCAGGAGGGAGUGUAUCCUGAGAUGCAUCAUCUACCUCAAUGAAGAUCCAGACACCAUCUUCAAAGAAUAUCUGGCACUGGCGACCGAGGAUGCAGAAAGGGACCUAGCAACCACAGUCAUGUGACCGGAAGUGAUGGGGAUCAGGAGCCUGAGGACGUUGGAGUUGUGGAGUCAAGUUCAUUCUAUUUGGCAUCAUUCACCAUGGUGAAACUCAAACAUCCAACAGGAAAAAAAAAACAUUUUUUGAUUGGAGGGGUUCUAAGGAAAUGAAGUUCAAAUGUAAAUGUAUUUCAAUAAAAAAUAAAAUAAAAAUAAAAAACCA